AUGAAGGGCUGUUUUCUUUUAUGUUGUUUGUCUUGUUUUCCAUUUGUGUCUUUUGUUGUUCGAAAAAAUAGUUCAUGUUCCAUGUACUCGUACUUUGUAUCUUUUUAUUGUACACGUUUUGUGAUAUCCUGUGGCCACA